rnacentral:lncRNA from 1 species
UUAGGGUUUGGUCUAAGGUUUGAUUUAAGAUUUAGGAUUAGUCUAGGAUUUGGUUUAGGAUUUAGGAUUUGGAUUUGGUAUAGGAUUUGAUUUAGGAUUUAGAAUUUGUCUAAGGUUUAAUUUAGGUUUUAGAAUUUGUUUAAGAUUUGAUUUAGGAUUUGUUUAGGAUUUGAUUUAGGAUUUGUUUUAGGAUUUAUGAUUUGUCUAUGGUUUGAUUUAGGAUUUUUUUUAGGAUUUAGAUUUUGUCUUUGGUUUGAUUUAGGAUUUGAGUAAGGAUUUAGGGUUUGAGUAAAGAUCUAAGAUUUGAUCUAGGAUUAGAUUUAAAAUUUAGGAAUUAUGAUUUAUUUAGGAUUUGAUUUAGAAUUUAAUUUAAGAUUUAGAAUUUGUCUAUGGUUUUAUUUAGAGUUUGAUUUAGGAUCUAAUGUUUGAUCUAGGAUUUAGUUUAGGAUUUAGAGUUUGUCUAGAAUUUGAUUGAGGUCUAUUAGGAUUUCAAAUAGGAUUAAAUUAGAACUUGAUUGAGAUUAUUUAAGAUAUAUUUGUAAUUAUUCUAAUAUUUUUUAGGACUUCUUAAGGAUUCUUUUAAGGUUUAUUUUUUUAUUUUCUUUCAAUUUUUUUAAGAUUUUUUAUUAUUUCUUU